rnacentral:rRNA from 1 species
CCUACGGGAGGCAGCAGUGGGGAAUUUUGGACAAUGGGGGCAACCCUGAUCCAGCAAUGCCGCGUGAGUGAAGAAGGCCUUCGGGUUGUAAAGCUCUUUUGUCAGGGAAGAAACAGCAGCUCUAACACAGCUGUGAAUGACGGUACCUGAAGAAUAAGCACCGGCUAACUACGUGCCAGCAGCCGCGGUAAUACGUAGGGUGCAAGCGUUAAUCGGAAUUACUGGGCGUAAAGCGUGCGCAGGCGGUUAUAUAAGACAGGUGUGAAAUCCCCGGGCUUAACCUGGGAAUUGCAUCUGUGACUGUAUAGCUAGAGUGUGUCAGAGGGGGGUAGAAUUCCACGUGUAGCAGUGAAAUGCGUAGAUAUGUGGAGGAAUACCAAUGGCGAAGGGCAGCCCCCUGGGAUAACACUGACGCUCAUGCACGAAAGCGUGGGGAGCAAACAGGAUUAGAUACCCUGGUAGUCCACGCCCUAAACGAUGCUGACUAGUUGUUCGGGAUUUUAUCCUGAGUAACGUAGCUAACGCGUGAAGUCAGCCGCCUGGGGAGUACGGUCGCAAGAUUAAAACGUUAAAGAGUAGUACGGCGNGNGAGAGACGACGGACGACGACGACGGAGGGAGGAGG